UUGGCUAGGAGCGUGCUAUGUGGUGAAGUUCAUUUUUAAGAGUGUAGCCACUUGUUUAUUUCCCUGUGCGAAAGUGAAAAUAGUACAGAUCAGCAUUUGUGCCAUUUCGAAAAAGAAAACAAAACGAAGAAAAAUAAAGAUCAGCGACCAGCGCAGUCUCAUUUCAAGAACAGUCAUAAGCGUUCCAUACAUGGAGUCUGUCAGUUUCUUGAUCUGUUGACGAUUUUUUGUGCAGCAGCAACCACAUCCUCCCAGACACAGUUGAGAUAGGUGGACUGCUUACUUCCACCGUAAAUCUCCCGUUUAAGAAGGAUCCACAUGUUCUCGAUAGGGUUUACGUCAGGUGAGGGAGGGGCCAUACCAUUAUUUUUUCAUCUUUGAUGCCUUUACUGGCUUGCAACACACUGGAGUACUUCGAUGGAUGCGAUGGAGCAUUGUCCUGCAUAAAUAUAAUGGUCCUCUUGAAAGAUGCAGACCUUCUCCUGUACCACUGCUGGAAGACUCUUGCUCUUGAAAGACCGCUUGCUCCUCUGAAAAGCAGCAGUAGGCUUGUGAGUUCAUUUUGAUUCCAUUUGAACCCGAAAAUGUCCAACUAGAUCAUAUUUGAUAAUACCAGCCCAUACCAGUAGCUUACCUUGUUGGCGUUUGAGCCGAAGUGGCUCUCUGUGCCCGUUACUCAUCCAGUCAUGGGCCAUCAAUCUGGGCCGUCAGGGUAUUUCAAGCACAGUCUUGACAUUUCAACUUAUGUGUCCUGUUCAUAAGUGGUCGAGUUUGUCUUCCUUACGUUGGCCAUGUCUCUUAACACUGAACACCUCGUACCCCAGGCAGGUUGCAGUUAUAGAAUAUGACGACGCUGGAGGAUAAUGGGUUUCUGGUAGCCUCACGUUUGGUUCUGGUCGAAUGUUUGGCAGUCAAUUGGCGUCUACUUUUUUUUCUUCUUCUGUGUUUCUUCUGUCUUCUGUGUGUGUGAGUGUUUCUUCUGAAACUGUUGACUAUUGGGAACAAAACGUUUGAUGGUUCUGGGAUCGCGCCCCAAUAUUUUGGUAAUAUUUAGCUAGAGCGCUGCAUCCCUUUGAAAUACUCUUUAAAAUGUUUAAACAACUAAUUAAACAUCUUUUUUGUUCCAUUUUUCACGAGCAAAAGAGGCUGCCUAAUAGUUAAACACACCUUGACACCAUGAUCUUAGGCCACGCCCUCUCUCACACACGCCCCAUUGCACGAAUACACAUCACCUGACAUGCCGAAGUCCAGUAAGCAUUCAAGUUUAUAUAACUUGGAAAAUAUGCAUAAAAAUUGCGAUAUGGUCAAAAUUCUCACUUGCCUAAUAAUUGUGCACACUGUAUAUAAAACUUCUAUUUCACCAUCAAAACACAUGCUGCAGACAUAUUUUCCAACCUUUAUAUUAUUAUUAAAGCACAACUACUACCUAAAGUGACACAAAGCAUAUUAACGUUACCGUUACUCCAUACGACAAUAUACCACACUGAUUUCACGCAAAGCACUCCCAAGAAAACUACACGUAGUUCAUGUACAAUCUCUAGCCUUCAAUAUUUCGGGGCUUCAGAACAGCACAUAGUACACACAAACAGCCAUACGCUCCCGCCACAUGUCGGUGCCAAGGAAGACAACGCCCCGGUGUCUAUAUAUGUAGCAUCCAUGAAAAAGGAUGACAAUGAGUAUUUACAUGCGGUGAAAGAAGUCUGCAACAGGUCCUGCACUCUACGAAAAAAAGGUAGAUGAAUUUCCUACCCAAGCUAGUAGAACGUGUGGGGGGCACCACAAUCAUGGCUGCUAAGAUGUCCCGGAAAAGGCCUUUACCUGUCAUAUGGGUUUGUUUGAGUUUGUACGGAUGCCUCUCCCGCCAGUUUCCAACGGCUAAUGGAUACUGUAUUGGGAGAUGCGAAGUAUAACAUCGCAAUGGCAUACAUGGAUGAUGUCGUAGUGUUUUCCAGAAAUUUUCGAGAACACUUGGAACACCUGUCAAUCGUCCUUGCAAGGAUGAAGUGGGCGGGGCUAACCAUCAACCCCCGCAAGGUGCAGCUAGCAUAGCCUAGGAUCAACCUUCUCGGCUUCGUGGUGGACGGACGACAACCGAUGACAAGCUAAAGGCGAUCAUGGAGUAUCCGGUUCCCGGCUGUGCUGAGUUAGCGCAGCCUCUUAACCGGUCGUCGUCCUACGAUACACGCUGGCAGUGGGGAGAACAGGAACGAACUUUCCUUUCGAGCUUUCUCACGCAAUCGCUAAUACGGCCAGACUAUAUUUGCCCGACCUGAACGUACCGUUUGUUGUGCAAACAGAUGCUAGCGAUUAUGGUGUUGGCGCAGUUCAGUGCAUGACGCUAUUCUCUGUCCAGUGGAUUUUGCAAGUCGCACGCUGAAUCCGGCAGAACGGAAUUAUUCCGUCACGGAAAAGGAGUGCUUGGCGAUCAUCUUCGCUCUCAGGAAGUUUGAUCUCCACCUGGAUGGCACCACUUUCACCGUCCAGACUGACCACCAGACACUUUCUUGGCUGCAGCGGCUCCACAACCCAUCUGGACGUCUCGCCAGAUGGACCCUGACGCUACAAUGGUACGUCUUCAACAUGGAGUACAAGCGGGGCUCGACGAACGUGGUAGCAGACCCGCUUUCCCGUGCACCUCUAAUGGAGGGCGGAGAGGAAGGCACCGAGGCGCCUUCACAACUCUUGGCAGCAGCACAAGUGGCACGGGACGAGAGUAUCUUUGUCGUGUGUCACGGUCGCGAGCAGAUAGCCAACGCCAACGCGGAGAAUGCUCAGUAGAGAAUGCUCUACACCUCCGGGAUGGAAGUACCCGGCCUCCUUAUCGAAGGUUUGCUGAGGACCUCCGGAGUCAACUGGACGUUGCAGCUCGGGCGGCUACGGGAGAAUCUGGACGUCGCAAGGUUCGACCAGGCUCGCCAGUACAACCGAGGACGACGGAAUCUCACCUAGAGCGUUGGUGACCUUGACCUUCGACGGACUUACCCGUUAAGUGAUGCAGCACGCGGCUUUGCAGCUUCGCUCGCAGGUAGAUGGGAUGGUCCCUUCGAGGUAAGUUCGUGCUCCUCCGGCCUCACUUACAGGCUUCGUCGCUGUGACACAGGCAAAGAAACUGGGCCAGUACAAAUCUGUGACCUGAAGACCCCGAGGGCGAAGAAGCAGGCAUUCAGCUUCCUCCUCAAGACCUGAACCAGGAUGCCGCUUCCGGACCUUUCAGUCGUUACAGUUUGCGUCCCCGCAGACAGCGCACGUAGCGGCCACUAUCCCAGUCACCAAAUUCCUAGAGCUCUUAUAUAGUUGGUCUUUCGUAGUGCGAUUUCUGUUACGCAGACUUCAGCUAUAAUCUUCUGGGGGAGAGCCUUUUCAGGUUCCCUCGGUUUGAAAUUACUUUCUCACCGUAUUCCUUUUUUUUUCUCCUUUCCCACAGGAGACGCCACCCCGCAAGAGGGCCCAGGGGCCAGAUCGCCUUCAUCGUGCCCUGAACGGAGCCCCCAGUGCCCUGCACCAAUGUCCACCCUCGUCAAGCAGAUCUUUGGCGCGUCCAUCGACGGAGCAGACACCAGUAGCCACUUGACUGUUGGCGCUGAUGGCCGUCCAGUCUCUUGGGCAUCCAUGACACAAUGGUCAGCUCAGCCACAAACUCUGCGUACAGACGACCCGCGAAGAGCCGUCGCCCCGUUUCGACGACUCCUACUGUCGGACCACCCGAAUGACCCCGCUACCCUACUCUGAGGCGAGGCACAUCUUGUGCCCACAAUGCAGGGUUCCAGAAAUCCACAGGACGACGCAUCGACGAGGCCAACUCCAUAAGUCAAAGACUGAGGCCACCUGUGUUCCUGGUGACCUGUCUGCUGCUUACGUGCAGAUUUGCUCCGUGAGGACCCCCCGCAGGCAGACCGUCCCGCCGACGGCGUGCUUAUCGACAUGGACGAUGUGUGACUGGUAGAACUGUCGUCGCUAGACUUGGAGGGGAGUGAAGUGUGGGGGCAUCACAAACGUGGCUGCUCGAAUGUUCCUGCUGAUAAGAGGGGGGGGGGUCACACAAGAGAGGGUAAAAACACACGGCACAGGGGGAUUCCUUGGGUUGGCGAGGAUUCAGGCUGUUCUGCACUGUAAGUCAUGUAAUAAACUUUGCUUUGUUGUUGCUA